rnacentral:rRNA from 1 species
AUUGAACGCUAGCGGGAUGCCUUACACAUGCAAGUCGAACGGAGUGGCGAACGGGCGAGUAAUGUAUCGGAACGUGCCCAGGAGCGGGGGAUAACUACGCGAAAGCGUAGCUAAUACCGCAUACUUUCGGAGCGGCCGAUAUGGGAUUAGCUAGUUGGUGGGGUAACGGCUAACCCAGGCGACGAUCCGUAGCUGGUUUGAGAGGAUGACCAGCCACACUGGAACUGAGCCACGGCCCAGACUCCUACGGGAGGCAGCAGUGGGGAAUUUUGGACAAUGGGGGAAACCCUGAUGCAGCCAUGCCGCGUGUGCGAUGAAGGCCUUCGGGUUGUAAAGCACUUUUAGCGGGGAGGCGGUACCUGCAGAAGAAGCACCGGCUAACUACGUGCCAGCAGCCGCGGUAAUAC